ACCGUAAAAGAAGAAAGACUUUGCUUUGAUUAUCUUAUUUGUUUUGAAUGCACCGCUCAACUCGCAUGGUCCCACGUGGGUACCUAGUUCUCAGCUAGUUCUCAGCAGCCAAUCAGAAGCUACGCAGGCCACGCUCAGCCAGUCGGCUCGGAGAGGAAGUGCAGUCGCGUUGCUCUUCCGGUCUUUUCGGAUCUCGGCCCGGGAAGCGAGGGCAGCUGUGCGUUAAGGAGAAGAGGAAAACCAGAGAAAGAACCCAGAGUAAAACCUGUGAAAAAGGAAAAAGAGUCGGAGCACUUACCCAGUGGAGGUCCGGAGCCAAGUGGCUGAACGAAGGAGAGAUACGUCGCAGGCUAACUGCUUGCCUGUCCUCCGGAGAGCUGCUACGAGGUUCGGCAUUGGCAUGCUCCACCUUGAUACACAGAGCAACGGUCAGGUUUUUUAGAGGACUGAGAGUCUGAGGUUCAGGACAACUUCCUGCUGUGAAAGAUGGCGAGCCAACUACCCUGAUUGAAGAUUAGCACCGAGGAGAUAUUCACGUACACACUCAUUCACACAAGUAAUACACUCACAUUACACUACAAGAAACCUUGGAAUCGGGUGAACUUUCAACAACUCCGUUUAUUUUAAGGGCCCCACCAGACAUUUUUGUUUUAAGUGUGCACACUACUUUUUUAUUUUCAUUACUGUUUGGUAUAAUAUUUUGCAUUUUGUACGAACCAGACAAAUUACUUUGUUCACUGUAAAAUAUAAGAGUGGCUACUCAAUUGUUACUCUUGUGUCUGCCUCAUUGUUGUUGCUCAGUACAGUGGCUCCUCUCGAAUUUGGUCUCUUCUGAUUCUGGUCCUGGUCUUAUUGUUAGUCCAACUUAUAUUAUACUGUAAUUCACUUUUACACUCCUAAAAUUGGUUACAUACUACUAGUACUUUUGCAGGCUGAAUGUUAAAGUACUUCUUAACUUAGAGAGAU